rnacentral:rRNA from 1 species
GCGCCCCUGACAAAGACUGACGCUCAGUGCGAAAGCGUGGGGAGCAAACAGGAUUAGAUACCUGGUAGUCCACGCUGUAAACGAUGUCGAUUUGGAGGUUGUUCCCUUGAGGAGUGGCCUCCGGAGCUAACGCGUUAAAUCGACCGCCUGGGGAGUACGGCCGCAAGGUUAAAACUCAAAUGAAUUGACGGGGGCCCGCACAAGCGGUGGAGCAUGUGGUUUAAUUCGAUGCAACGCGAAGAACCUUACCUACUCUUGACAUCCAGAGAAUUUAGCAGAGAUGCUUUAGUGCCUUCGGGAACUCUGAGACAGGUGCUGCAUGGCUGUCGUCAGCUCGUGUUGUGAAAUGUUGGGUUAAGUCCCGCAACGAGCGCAACCCUUAUCCUUUGUUGCCAGCGAUUCGGUCGGGAACUCAAAGGAGACUGCCGGUGAUAAACCGGAGGAAGGUGGGGAUGACGUCAAGUCAUCAUGGCCCUUACGAGUAGGGCUACACACGUGCUACAAUGGCGUAUACAAAGAGAAGCGACCUCGCGAGAGCAAGCGGAACUCAUAAAGUACGUCGUAGUCCGGAUUGGAGUCUGCAACUCGACUCCAUGAAGUCGGAAUCGCUAGUAAUCGUAGAUCAGAAUGCUACGGUGAAUACGUUCCCGGGCCUUGUACACACCGCCCGUCACGCCAUGGGAGUGGGUUGCAAAAGAAGUAGGUAGCUUAACCUUCGGGAGGGCGCUUACCACUUUGUGAUUCAUGACUGGGGUGAAGUCGUAACAAGGUAACCA